GCUUACGGCCAUACCACCCUGAGCGCGCCCGAUCUCGUCUGAUCUCGGAAGCUAAGCAGGGUCGGGCCUGGUUAGUACUUGGAUGGGAAACCGCCUGGGAAUACCAGGUGCUGUAAGCUUUA
rnacentral:rRNA from 1 species